rnacentral:rRNA from 1 species
UGGGGAAUAUUGCACAAUGGGCGCAAGCCUGAUGCAGCCAUGCCGCGUGUGUGAAGAAGGCCUUCGGGUUGUAAAGCACUUUCAGCGAGGAGGAAGGUGGUGAGCUUAAUACGCUCAUCAAUUGACGUUACUCGCAGGAGAAGCACCGGCUAACUCCGUGCCAGCAGCCGCGGUAAUACGGAGGGUGCAAGCGUUAAUCGGAAUUACUGGGCGUAAAGCGCACGCAGGCGGUUUGUUAAGUCAGAUGUGAAAUCCCCGGGCUCAACCUGGGAACUGCAUUUGAAACUGGCAAGCUAGAGUCUCGUAGAGGGGGGUAGAAUUCCAGGUGUAGCGGUGAAAUGCGUAGAGAUCUGGAGGAAUACCGGUGGCGAAGGCGGCCCCCCUGGACGAAGACUGACGCUCAGGUGCGAAAGCGUGGGGCAGCAAACAGGAUUAGAUA